rnacentral:lncRNA from 1 species
CUACAGGUGUGAGCAGAAGACCAUCUUGGAUAGUCUCCAGAGGACACUGACGCCAAAGCUCUGCUGGAGAGACCGGAUGGCUGGAGUCCCUGCUGCUGACUUUCAGAAUGGGAUCCAUAUUUUAAGGAAAGCUGACAGAGAGAUAAAAGAAGGCUGUGUUCCCAAAAUACACUGAACUCACCAUGCCAGCUCUGGCUACAACUCCAAAGUUCUUUACUCAAAGAAGAUUUCUAUCCUGUUAAAACCCCAGGGGAGAGACCAGCCCAGGGAACUCUAAAGGGGCAAUGCUUCCUUUACAGGACAGUUCCUUGGGUGAAUACGUUCC